CACGGGGGGGAGCAAGCGUUGUUCGGAAUCACUGGGCGUAAAGCGCGUGUAGGCGGCCAAGUAAGUGGGAUGUGAAAUCCCCCCGGCUUACCCGGGGACCUGCAUCUCAUACUGCUUGGCUUGAGUAUGGGAGAGGAUGAGGGAAUUCCUGGUGUAGCGGUGAAAUGCGCAGAUAUCAGGAGGAACACCAAUUGCGAAGGCAGCUCGCUGGGACGUUACUGACGCUGAGACGCGAAAGCGUGGGGAGCAAACAGG
rnacentral:rRNA from 1 species